GAGGAAAAAGAGGCAGUGUCUCUUUAAGGCAUAUGAUAGAGCAGGAACCCAGUGUAGCUGAAGCAUUCAGAGAAUAGGCAGCCUUGCUGAUACACACAGAUCUGGCUGCUCCUGGAGAUCUGUGCUUAUUAUACCCCCCAUACCAAGGAACCUGAUCUCCUCUCUCGUACAGGCUUCAUCCCAGGACCCCUCCAAAUUAUCAACAACAACAACAAAAAAGGGAUAUUGGAUUUUUUUUAAUUUGAAGAAAUGCAAAAAAAUGAACUGCUUUCCCUUUCUCAGAUCUUUGUCACUUUUUAUGCUGGAAGCUCAUCUCUGAUGUCUCUCCCCUCUUCUACAAACACUGGAGGAUUGGGUUAAAUUGGCAGCACCUGGUAAUUUAUUUCCCCUUUUUUCCAACAAAACAAGAACAAAGCAGAUUAUCUUGGGAACUGACUUUUGAAAAAAAAAGGCUUAUUUUUGGUGCAAAUGGAUUUUAAAAAGUGAUAGAUCUUUCAAAUGAAUGCUUGUGGAGUUUUCUGGUUGGAUUACUCAGUGAAUGACAAUGUUCUCUGCUAUGUCUUGGAUCCUGUUUUUGUGGAUAAGUCUGUUCACCCUGCUGUGCUGCCAGGGCUCCCUACAUCAUACCUUCCAGCAGCAUCACCUUCACAGACCAGGAUUCUCAUCAGGUCACUUCCCGAACCACAGAAAAUUUGGAGAAAUAGAAGGAGGAACUUGUGAGGUCAUAGCCGCACACAGAUGCUGCAAUAAGAAUCGAAUCGAGGAACGGUCGCAGACGGUAAAAUGUUCCUGUCUCCCCGGAAAGGUGGCGGGUACAACCAGGAACCGACCCUCCUGCGUUGAUGCUUCCAUAGUGAUUGGCAAAUGGUGGUGCGAGAUGGAGCCCUGCUUAGAGGGAGAAGAAUGCAAGACUCUUCCUGAUAACUCAGGGUGGCUUUGUGCCACCGGGAAUAAAAUAAAGACCACCAGGUUUCAGGGUCACUCAUGAGCACCUUGAUGCAAGGCAACAUGGCAUCUGAGAGGCCCUGAAACCCCGUAGAUUCAUCCGAGAGCCUAAUCCUUUUUUUUUGUUGUUGUUGGGAGGGGGGGAAUGACGAACAUCUACAGGCAUCUGCCGAUAAUAAGAAGAGGCCAUAUUCAGUCUUAAGCAUACUAAGGAUUUACAAGCCAAAUGGAUAUUUUACUUGCACUUUUUAAAGAAAAAAAACUCUUAGUGGUUUCACUAUGUGAAAUGGAACAAUCCAUGGGCCAAACAAAGAAAUGCAUUUUUGGGAUUUUUACCAGGAAAACUGGAAACAUUAAAACAAUUGUACAUUUAAUUUAUUUUUUGGGUGUGCUGAAACACGAAGAUCAGUCUUCUGGAUUUACAACUUUCUUUGUACAUUCUAGAAAGAAAAAUGAAAAAAAAAAUACUUGUAUAUAUCUCCAGAACCUGCAUUAACAAUGAAUAAAAAAUACUCCAGAUUUUUCUUGUGGAUCCCCAUUACAUUUGUACUGCAAUGGAGAAGAGCCUGUU